rnacentral:pre_miRNA from 1 species
ACAACAUUCGGACCGUCGGUCUAACGAGCAAUAUCAACCGCUCGGUGGGAGAUCUUCUCUUUGUCGU